rnacentral:rRNA from 1 species
AUAUCAAUAAGCGGAGGAAAAGAAACCAACAGGGAUUGCCUCAGUAACGGCGAGUGAAGCGGCAACAGCUCAAAUUUGAAAUCUACCUUCGGGUCGAGUUGUAAUCUGUAGAGGAUGCUUUGGGCGCGGUAGUCACCGAGUCCCCUGGAAUGGGGCUCCAUAGAGGGUGAGAGUCCCGUUCGUGGCGAACUAAGCCCGUGUAAAGCGCCUUCGACGAGUCGAGUAGUUUGGGAAUGCUGCUCAAAAUGGGAGGUAAAUUCCUUCUAAAGCUAAAUACUGGCCAGAGACCGAUAGCGCACAAGUA